UGGGGUGUCGUCCAAUGGCAGGACUCUGGUUUUUGGUGCCAGCUAUCGGGGUUCGAAUCCCUGCACCCCAGCCA
rnacentral:tRNA from 1 species